rnacentral:rRNA from 1 species
UACAGAGGUCUCAAGCGUUGUUCGGAUUCAUUGGGCGUAAAGGGUGCGUAGGCGGCGCGGUAAGUCGGGUGUGAAAUCUCGGAGCUUAACUCCGAAACUGCAUUCGAUACUGCCGUGCUUGAGGACUGGAGAGGAGACUGGAAUUUACGGUGUAGCGGUGAAAUGCGUAGAUAUCGUAAGGAAAGACCAGUGGCGAAGGCGGGGUCUCUGGACA